GAUAAUUGAUCAUCGAAACAAAUCAUAACUACUACACAGUUCAAUGUUGAAAUUGUCUUCCACCUCACGGUGAUUGAAAAAUCAAAAGCAAACGUAGAUCCCCAUUCGUUUAGCUGGCGGCGUGAGAUUAUAUCAUAAACACACUGGACACGUGCAAACGGCUUCAAUUUUUCGCAAAACACGUGACAACAAGUAGGGAUGGUCACGUGUCAGCUGGCCUCCAAACUCAAUCCGGUUGAAAGGGAUAUUAACAUCCGGUAGUAUUCCGGAGCAUAAAUAAGUGCAGCGCAAGUUAUGCACACAGUCGUCCAAACAGGACCAUAUCGAAGCGGCAAUGAAAAUUAGAUUACAGCUGAACAAGUGCGUUAUGCUGGCUGAGCAGCAAGGGGAAUCUGAUGCAUUUGGUGAGCCACUCUGUGAGAAAAUAACCUGUUAGGGGUUCUGCUAUGUUUUUUAGCCACGCGACGAUAAGUGACCAAGCGAGGAUACAACGAAGUCCUAAUUUCAACGCCAUGCGAAAAGAAAAUCAACGCUUUCCCUCAAACACACUCAUGCCGAACGUGACGCGCUCCCAAAAAAUGGCACCACGUUCUGGUGCGAGCUGUAGCGGCGGAAGAAAAUCAGUAUCCAUAGAAAUCACGUUCACUUAUGUACAAACGGCUCCGAACCAAGGGGAACAGAUUUCCCCAAUGAAAGCAUGAAUCUCUAGCGUUGCUCUUUCAGCGUCUCUAUGUGUGGUUUUGUGUGAGCUUUACGAAAUUCGUAGUAUAUAGCGGAAAUGAAGAGCAAACAGCAUUCAUUUUUUUUCCAAUAUUCUAUGAACACAUUCACCUCACCAACUUAGGUGCAAACUCAUAUGAAGAGAUUUUACCCGG